UACCUGGUUGAUUCUGCCAGUAGUCAUAUGCUUGUCUCAAAGAUUAAGCCAUGCAUGUCUAAGUAUAAGCAACUUAUAUUGUGAAACUGCGAAUGGCUCAUUAAAUCAGUUAUAGUUUAUUUGAUGGUGACUUGCUACAUGGAUAACUGUGGUAAAUCUAGAGCUAAUACAUGCAAUCAAGCCCCGACUUCUGGGAGGGGUGUAUUUAUUAGAUAAAAACCAACCGCUUCGGCGACCCUUGGUGAAUCAUGAUAACUUUUCUAAUCGCAUGGCCUUGCGCCGGCGAUGCUUCAUUCAAAUAUCUGCCCUAUCAACUGUCGAUGGUAGGAUAGAGGCCUACCAUGGUUGCAACGGGUAACGGGGAAUAAGGGUUCGAUUCCGGAGAGGGAGCCUGAGAAACGGCUACCACAUCCAAGGAAGGCAGCAGGCGCGCAAAUUACCCAAUCCCGACACGGGGAGGUAGUGACAAUACAUAACAAUCUGGAGCUUUUUAAAGGUUCUGGAAUUGGAAUGAGUACAAUUUAAAUCCCUUAACGAGGAACAAUUGGAGGGCAAGUCUGGUGCCAGCAGC
rnacentral:ncRNA from 1 species